rnacentral:rRNA from 1 species
GAUGAACGCUGGCGGCGUGCCUAAUACAUGCAAGUCGAGCGAACCACUUCGGUGGUGAGCGGCGAACGGGUGAGUAACACGUAGGUGAUCUGCCCAUCAGACGGGGACAACGAUUGGAAACGAUCGCUAAUACCGGAUAGGACGAAAGUUUAAAGGUGCUUCUGGCACCGCUGAUGGAUGAGCCGGCGGCGCAUUAGCUAGUUGGUAGGGUAAAGGCCUACCAAGGGGACGAUGCGUAGCCGACCUGAGAGGGUGAACGGCCACACUGGGACUGAGACACGGCCCAGACUCCUACGGGAGGCAGCAGUAGGGAAUCUUCGGCAAUGGGCGAAAGCCUGACCGAGCAACGCCGCGUGAAUGAUGAAGGCCUUCGGGUUGUAAAAUUCUGUUAUAAGGGAAGAACGACUUUAGUAGGAAAUGGCUAGAGUGUGACGGUACCUUAUGAGAAAGCCACGGCUAACUACGUGCCAGCAGCCGCCGUAA